GAAGACAUUGUUUCGAUAUCUACACUAGAAUCAAGAUUGAUAACAUAAAAAAAUUGAGAAGCAUUUCUAACUAAGUUGUCUCCAUUUUUCUUCAUCUAUUUUUUAUAUUUUUUUUUUGUUUCUACUUUUUUUAUAUUUUUAUUUUAUUUUAAAAUUGUGGUUUUUAAUUUAAAUUGAGAAUAUAUUUAAUAAAUGAUUUUUUUUAAUAUCAUACAAUUUAAUUAUGUAUCAUUAUAGUAUUAAAU
rnacentral:lncRNA from 1 species